rnacentral:lncRNA from 1 species
UGAACGCCUCGCAAGCCCUCUUCCCGGUGGAGCGAGGCAGCAGCUCUGACUGGUGUACCUAGGCUCAACUGCGGAGCUAAGGGAGGUUUUCCAUCGUCGGAGGUGAAAAAUGUGACCCACUGGAGCUUAGAAAAUGCGCAAAGUCUCUUCAAGAUCGAGUUUGGAGGUCUUGUACAUUUAACUUCUUCUAAUUGGGAUAUGUGCUUGGUUUUUUUUAUACAAGAAGUUGAUAAUCCUUCUGUAUAAGAUUAAAAAUGAAGUUAUCAAGUUACCUUUUGACCUUCUUGUAGGUUGGUACCGAAGAAAAGCUUGUCUUAACACAUUCAAUCUAUAGAUUCUGUAGCCUUUAAAAUAAUACCAGGAGGAUAAGUGGUUAUAGAAUUCUAUGAAAUGGAGUGUCAACUCUCCCACAGCGUAGCC